AUUCCAGCUCCAAUAGCGUAUGUUAAAGUUGUUGCGGCUAAAAAGCUCGUAGUUGGAUUUCUAGAUGAGAGGAGUGGUCCACUCUAUGAGUGUGUAUCUACUUCCGCUCGUCUAUCCGCUCUGCAAACGUGUCUGCGCUUGACUGCGUGGCGCGGAGGUAGGGCCUUUUACUUUGAGGAAAUUAGAGUGUUCACGGCAGGCAAUCGCCUUGAAUAUAUUAGCGUGGAAUAAUAACAUAGGAUCUUGGUUCUAUUUUGUUGGUUUCUAGGGCUAAGAUAAUGAUUAAUAGGGACAAUUGGGGGCAUUCGUAUCGCGGUGUCAGAGGUGGAAUUCUUGGAUUACUGCGCGACGAACUACUGCGAAAGCAUUUGCCAAGGACGUUUUCAUCG
rnacentral:rRNA from 1 species